rnacentral:rRNA from 1 species
GACGAACGCUGGCGGCGUGCUUAACACAUGCAAGUCGAACGGAAAGGCCCCUUUGGGGGUACUCGAGUGGCGAACGGGUGCGUAACACGUGAGUAACCUGCCCUUGACUUCGGGAUAACUUCAGGAAACUGGGGCUAAUACCGGAUAGGAAUCCUUGCUGCAUGGUGGGGGUUGGAAAGCUUCGGCGGUUUUGGAUGGACUCGCGGCUUAUCAGCUUGUUGGUGGGGUAGUGGCUUACCAAGGCUUUGACGGGUAGCCGGCCUGAGAGGGCGACCGGCCACAUUGGGACUGAGAGACGGCCCAGACUCCGACGGGAGGCAGCAGGGGGGAAUAUUGCACAAUGGGCGGAAGCCUGAUGCAGCAACGCCGCGUGCGGGAUGACGGCCUUCGGGUUGUAAACCGCUUUCAGCAGGGGCGAAGCUUGUGGUGACGGUACCUGCAGAAGAAGCACCGGCUAACUACGUG